rnacentral:rRNA from 1 species
GACAGCAGCCAUACAACCGGUACCAGCACUUCUGGCCAGCUAAUCCAUUUAAAACUAAGCAGCUUUGGGCCUGGUCAGUACUUGGAUGGGAGACCAGCCAGGUAAGCUGGGCUGCUGCCC